rnacentral:lncRNA from 1 species
GUCCAGGGACCUGCAGCUUUGGUAUCACUGGGAUGUCUGUCAGAACUGUAGAGUCUCAGGCUGGGCCCCGGUCCUACUGAAUUAUUCUGCGUAUAAGAAGAUCCCAGGAGGGUCACAGGCAUAUUGAAGUCUGGGAAAUACCAGGAGUAAAUGUUCCAGGCUUGGGGCCAGCAUGUGCAAAGGCCCUGAGGCAAAAAUCAAAAUGUUUCCUCUUUGGAAAUAGUCUGGAAGUCGGGUAGCCCAAGAGUGUCUUAACUGAGUCAGCUCCCUCUACAUUGCCUGCAAAAGGCGGGACCACUGAAGGAAUUUACCCUGGACCUGUGAGGGACCUCAGAAAGGAGACGGGCAAGUAGGUUGAUGACAGCCCAGCGUGAUCGGUGCCACGAUGAAGGGCAGUAACAGACGAGGAGGCAAAGAGCAGCUCACACAUGGGAGGGUCAGAGUGGUGCCAGUCCCAUGCCCCACACCCUAUGAGUGAGACCGCCUUUCCAUGGGUGCCCCAGGAGCCUCGCUGGCACAGCCCCACGAUGCCAAGGUGCAAGCCACCACGCCAGGGUAACAUUCAGAAGCAACUCCACAUCACCCACACCAGCCUCAAGCCUUUGCAUCGAGUCCUACCUGGGUCAGCCGGUGGAUGUGGCCCUGGCCCUGGCCUCCUGGGAAGAAGCAGCUCCAUGUGCUGCACUGCGUGCCUGCUGCAGUUGAUCAGGAGAGCAAGUCCAAGGGUCAAGGCAGCAUGAACCUCAGCAGAUGGCCCCAAAGCCCCUUCGGGCUCCUCUGCAGGGCUGACCACAAGGGCUAUGGGACCACCCUCCCUGACCCCACUGUGCCCGGGGAGGUGUUGCGCCAGUGGAGUGGGGUGAAAGGGAUGCAGAGGGGAAUGGCGGAGACCACACUGGUCCUGGAAUCAGAGACUCCUUGAGACCCCAUCUGCCAUCACUUAGCUUACUAACUGGGCAAACCUCCCAGCCUCAUUUUUCUCAAACGGAAAACAAGAAAAAAUAUCACCAGUCCUACUCACUUCACAAGACCGUCAAGAGGACCAGAUCAAAUGGGAUACUAUUAGUUGAAAGCAUUUUAAAGAACUGGGGUGGGGGCCAGGCAUGGUGGCUCAUGCCUGUAAUCCCAGCACUUUGGGAGGCUGAGGCAAAUGGAUCAUUUGAGGUCAGGAGUUCGAGACCAGCCUAACCAACAUGGUGAAACCCCAUCUCUACUAAAAAUACAAAAAAUUAGCUGGGCAUAGUGGCAUAUGCCUGUAGUCCCAGCUACUCGGGAGGCUGAGGCAGGAGAAUCACUUGAACCCAGGAGGCAGAGGUUGCAGUGAGCUGAGAUCGCGCCACUGCACUCCAGCCUGGGCGACAGGGCGAGACUCCGUCUCAAAAACAAAGAAACAAAAACAAAAAACUGGGGUGGAAUUCACAUAACAUAAAAUUAACCAUUUUUAAGGGUACAGUUCAGGGGCGUUUAGUACAUUCUCGCUGUUGUACAAAACUAGUUCCAAAACAUUAAUAGCCCCAAAGGAAAUCCUGUAGCCAUUAAACAGUCAUGCCCUCCAG